rnacentral:rRNA from 1 species
CCUACGGGAGGCAGCAGUGGGGAAUAUUGCACAAUGGGGGAAACCCUGAUGCAGCGACGCCGCGUGAGUGAAGAAGUAAUUCGUUACGUAAAGCUCUAUCAGCAGGGAAGAAAAUGACGGUACCUGAGUAAGAAGCCCCGGCUAACUACGUGCCAGCAGCCGCGGUACUACGUAGGAGGCAAGCGUUAUCCGGAUUUACGGUGUGUAAAGGGAGCGUAGACGGUGCGCCAAGUCUGGAGUGAAAUGCCGCGGCUUAACUGCGGAACUGCUUUGGAAACUGGCGAACUAGAGUGCGGGAGGGGUAAGCGGAAUUCCUAGUGUAGCGGUGAAAUGCGUAGAUAUCAUGAAGAACUCCGAUCGCGAAGGCAAGUGUCCGGGGUGCAACUGACGCUGAGGCUCGAAAGUGCGGGUAGCAAACAGGAUUAGAUACCCUGGUAGUC